CUUCACCGACCCCAACCAGAGCGGCUCGCUACGCCCCUGCCCAUAGGUGGCCAACAACGCCUGCGCCUC
rfam:Mycobacterium kansasii strain 1010001458 NODE_42_length_47835_cov_33.6324_ID_3873, whole genome shotgun sequence.